UACGGGGGGAGCAAGCGUUGUUCGGAUUUACUGGGCGUAAAGGGCGCGUAGGCGGCGUGACAAGUCACUUGUGAAAUCUCCGGGCUUAACUCGGAGCGGCCAAGUGAUACUGUCGUGCUAGAGUGCGGAAGGGGCUACUGGAAUUCUCGGUGUAGCGGUGAAAUGCGUAGAUAUCGAGAGGAACACCUGCGGCGAAAGCGGCUUCCUGGUCCAGCACCGACGUUCAGGCACGAAAGCGUGGGGAGCAAACAGG
rnacentral:rRNA from 1 species